UCAAGCUGUCAGGGUUUUUAAUUCUGUGCAUUAAGAGGCCCAGCAAACAUUCUGACUCUGAAGUGUAGUUGAAAUGAUUUUGAAUAUCAGCUCACAAAGUUGUUGCUGUCUUAACUGGUUGAGAGGGAAACCUGCAAGUUAUCUCAACCUGUUUGAAGGAGUUGUGCUGUAGACCUGCCAUCGAUGUUGUUUGAAUGUUAACUCUUUAUACAUCACAUUAUAAUCAUUAUAAUCAGAACAAAUAUCUGUCACAAAUAACCACAAUGUGGAGCAGAAAAUGUAACUUCCACAGACAAUUAAAUUUCCAGACAAACACAAAUCACAAGUUCAUCUGGUCUGAAUCAAAACUGUCAUUGCACGUUCUAAAGGUUUACAGUUAGUCUGAUGAUAAAGUCUAAUAUCCAGUUUGAUGCAUCCUGUGAGGAGGAGUCAAUGCAAAACUUGUAUAUCUAAUUUCCAGCUCUACAUAUGUGGCUGCAGAGAGUGAGACAGAGCAGUGGACUCACAGUUUACCAAGAUGAGCUUCAGCGUUGGACUGCUGCUUUUAACUCUCUGCUGGGCCGGUGUUGAAGCCCAGACUCUGAUACAAUCUGGAUCAGCAGUUAAAAGACCUGGAGAAUCUCACAGACUCACCUGUACAGCCUCUGGAGUCACAAUCAGUGGUUUUACUAUGCACUGGAUCAGACAGACUCCUGGAAAAGGACUGGAGUGGAUCUCUUAUAUUAGCAGCGGUGGCAGCACUCAAUACUCUCAGUCAGUUCAAGGUCGAUUUACCAGCUCCAGAAACAACAACGUCCUGCAGGUGUAUCUGCAGAUGAACAGUUUGAAGACUGAAGAUUCUGCUGUUUAUUAUUGUGCUCGAGAGACACAGUGACUGAAGUUGUGUUAGCAGCUGUACAAAAACCUGCAGUAGUCGUCUCUUUGAGUGAUACAGCUCAUGUAUGAAGGAUUCUUUCUAUAUUUUUUAUUCUUUAUUAUAUAAAUAUGAUGCAUUUUACACUGAUAUUUAAAAAAACAUUCAUAUUUCACUUUACACAGCUUUUUUAAAAUAUGUAUGUGUUUGCAGACAAGUUCUUUAGAAAAAGGUAAAUGAUAUUUUAUUUGAAUCAUUAAACCUAUUAAUAAACAAUGUACAAGACCAACAACUGGUCCAUAAAGAAGUCUGAAAACAGACUCUGUUUGCUGACAGUAAACACAUUUCUACUGACUGAUGACAAUAUUGUCUAUAAUAUAUCUGCUGUCUACAUUAGAUCAUAACAUGUGAGUGAAAAGAAUGUUGACCUUGAUGUUGUUUGGAUGGAGCUAAAUGUAAAAAGAUUUUUCAUGACUGAAGAAAAUGUAUUGAUGUAUUAAUCAAACCACCGGUGUGUUUUAUUUAAGAAACAAAGACAAAUGUUGUGUUCAUAUUAACAUACUACCAAAUAAUAAGAAUAAUACAAAAAGAGAAAUAUUACAAAUAGACAUUUAAUUUGAACAAUAUGUCAGAAAUAAAUAAAUAAUUUAAUUUCUAAGACAACCACACACUGAUUAAUGUGAAAUAUGUUGCUUCAUAUCAGCUAAUACAUGUUUUUCUGGGAUUUGUUGCACAUUCAGUUCACAAGCUGCAGUUCUUCUCUGCAA